ACAUUCAAAAAGCUGAAUCCAAAUUUAAUGUACUUGGAACGGGGGAUUAUAUUGGGGUGAAUCACGUGACCCUUUUCGCGUGUAGGGCAAACACCUUCUGCCCGAAUCCGUCAACUAACCUCGUAAGCUAAGAAAGGUGGAAAA
rnacentral:sRNA from 2 species